rnacentral:rRNA from 1 species
CGAACGGUAAAUGUACAGCAAUGUAUAUGAGAGUGACGUACGGGUGCGUAACACGUAUGCAACCUACCCUUUACAGGCGGAUAGCUCGGGGAAACUCGGAUUAACCCGUCAUAAGAUCAUAGAGUGGCAUCACUUAGUGAUUAAAAUUACGGUGGUAAAGGAUGGGCAUGCGUCUGAUUAGUUAGUUGGCGGGGUAAUGGCCCACCAAGACGAUGAUCAGUAGGGGAACUGAGAGGUUGAUCCCCCACACUGGCACUGAGAUACGGGCCAGACUCCUACGGGAGGCAGCAGUAGGGAAUAUUGGUCAAUGGAUGGAAGUCUGAACCAGCCAUGCCGCGUGCAGGAAGAAGGCCUUCUGGGUUGUAAACUGCUUUUGCCAGGGGCUAAAAAGCUCAUGCGUGGGAAAUUGAAAGUACCUGGUGAAUAAGCCACGGCUAACUACGUGC